rnacentral:lncRNA from 1 species
UUUCAUUGGCAUCUCAUUUAUCAGAGAGAUAUCACAUUACUUGCCCAAGGUCACACAGAUCUUUAGUGGGAGAUUCUCCCCAACACUGAGACCUCCCCAUCUUACCCAGAAGAAAAUUGGCCUCACCUUUCCUUGGCACCGGAAGGACACUCUAGGAAUUCAUUGACAUCAAACCCAAUGGUCAGCACUUGGUCUUUAUUUAUGGCUGUAAGACAAGAAGUCUGGUUAGCCAUCCGGGCAAACCACCCUCAGGACGGGUAUCCAACUUCGGGAGUUUUCUUAGUGCCUAAAAAGGGCUUUAUGAGAUCAAAAUUCUAAGCUGCAGAUGAAAUGCCCUCUCAGUGUUCAUGUGGAAACGUUUAUUUCCUUCGGAAGGAUUCGGUGGCGUGGUGGCACUGCAGCUAAUGCGGGCCCUGAUCAGGGCGUUAAAGGCGGGUCUCACAUUUACCAGUGGAGUAGCCCUGGGCGAGUCCUUUAACCCUGUUUGCCUCGUUCCCUCAUCUAUAAAACGAGCUGGAGAAGGAAAUGGCAAACCACUAGCCAAGUGCCAGUGGGCAAGUCACGUCACCUUGUUUGCGCCUCCCGCUGGGACUGAGGGCAGGGCGCUGUACACGUCUAGGUGCCCGGAUCACAAGGGGGGGGGGGGGACCAGGGUGGCUAUUACUCCCACUGCACAGAGGAGGAAAUGGAGGCUCGAAGACUCCCCCUCCUGAUUCUCGGCCCUAGGCACACGGCACGCGUGCUGGCAGGGGGCGCCAGUCUGGGUGCUGUGAGGGUCUGUAGGGCAGGUGCGGGAGGGGAAAGGAGAGGAAGCCCAGAUUCUGCAGCCCCCGGGCCAUCUUUCCCCUCAGGCCUCAGCCCUUCCCAGGCCUCGGGGAGCCAGCGUGGGCGGGGCCUCCCAGAGUCUCUCCUACCCACCUUCCAGCGUGUCAAACAGGAGCCGAGCGGAUUUCUCCCUCGAGGGGGCGCAGUGCUGGAGCUGCAGGCGGAAGAUGAGCACCUCCACUUGGGGAUGGACGGCCUGCCGAGGAACAAGGACCCGAUGGAAAAGGACUCCAGUUACCUGCAGUCCACUCAGUUCCUGUGGUGGACCUGCCUCGCUUUGGCAAUCACUCAGCAAAUCAAGAGAAAGGAAAUCGAUGGAAUCCUAUAAACAAGCAAACAAUCGUCAGGAUGCUAGCAAUUGGGAGACAAAAGUCUGUCGUCUUCUUUUCUGGUUUCUGUGCAGAGCCCUAAAUGCUGGCAGAGGAGGGCAAUGGGGGCAGGAUGUCCAGACCAGACGCGGGAAGACUCGGGCCAAUUCCAAGG